AAGCAGGGGCCCGCUGUACGGGGCAGUCGUUUGCAGCGUAAGUGACCGAGCAGUCGCUUACAGUCAAUGUGAUUCUGCUGUAGUUACUUCCACAUAAUUAUGCAGUUUGUGUGGGAUGGUGGUCAUAGGGAAGCAUGUUCCCGGAACUACCUUAAGAGCCCCUCAGCGCACACCCCUCUGCCCUCUUUUUGGAAUCGAAAAUGUGCAUAGUUUUCAUAGCUAAGGUCAUCUGGUAAUAGUUGUGUGGCUGACAAAAUACAUCCGAAUGUCCACAGAUUGUUUUUUUUGAUUGGUAAAUGUCGUAUUAUAGGACACCUUACGGUCCACUGUAGCCAAAGUGAGAACUGCUUUUUUUUUUUUUUUUUUUUUGUAUAUAUAUGUACACUUUUACAAAUACUGUAUGUUUAAAGCUGAUGUGUACGUGUGGGACAACAUCCAGUAUUUCUGCUGUCACUGAUGUCGUCCGUCAUAGGAACGCUGACACCCAAAUUCCCUCUUGUCCCCGUUUGUGUCCCCUGCUCUCCUACCAUCUUGUCUGCCUCAUGAGCCCUCGCUGCUGAUUUACGGCACUUAAUACUGCUACAGCUUAAGAGCAUCACUUCCGACUUCCAGCUAUACGUUCCCUUUACCGCUUUGGGAACUUUCCCAUUUUCUCUCCUUUGCGCCCUCCUUUCAUCUCUCCGUGCUGUUCCCUUAGUUCCCCGUCAUGCUCCCGCCCUCCUUUCCUCCACACACGCUGUAAUAGGCACUCACUCUCACACACACAGAGGGAGCGAGAGACAGGAACAGAAUCCCGGAGUUUUCGAUCGGGGAAGGAUUCUGAUUAAAAACAUUUUUUUCCCAAUUCUGAAAUGAAAAAAAGGAGCGGGUUGUAAGAUAAAUGUAUCCUUCCAUGUUUUUCUUUUGUCUCCUGUGGUAUUUCUGUAUGCUCUUGUUCUCUCUUUCUCUUUGUCCCUCCCUCUUUAUCGCUCCUUUGCUGCAUAUAUUAGGCCCUUUGAGUCUUAAAGUGAUUUCAGCUGUGAGGAAAUGCAAGUUGAAGUUGAUUUCUCUUUCCCCUCUCUUCUUUGGCUCUAUUGAUGCUCGAUGUGGUCGGCAGAACGGUGAGGCUCCCUAGUCUUCCUGCCUCGGGGACCUGAGUUUGUAAUCUACGAAGGUAGCGGAAGGCAACAAACUAUAGAGGUUUGAUAUAUCGCAAGACAGACGCGCCGGCCGACAUCAGAAAGAAAGCGUGAGACAUUCGGCGAGGGUAGAAACACUCGGGAAAGGAUAGGAGGAACGUAUUGGUAUAUGUUCGUAUUAUUCUCCAUUCCAUUUGUUUGUUUAAGUCUGAUGUAAAGCUGUAAUUUAGGAAAAAGCUGCGAGUGUGGCCACAUGCUUGUACGUGGAGAUGCCUUUCUUGGCCGCAUUUGCUUCGGCUGUCAACUUAGCCUGCCUACAAAAGAUUUUCAUCUCUUGACUCUGUUUCCUUGCUGCCUCCUUGCUUUGAUUCAUGAGUUGUCGUGUAUUUGCAAUAGCUGCAUGGAUUCACUGAGCUACUCUUUGUUCCCUUCUGCUUGUAUGUAUGUGCCAACCGUGAAGCAUCGCAAAGGAAUAAUACUUUAGUGGAAUCUUAUGCUAUAAGUAGUGUAGUUGACGCUGCUUCUCAUUUCAUUAUCCUAACAGAAUCUUUGAACAGAAUUUACAUCAUGUCAUUCUGGCUCGGUUUCUUGAAACAUAAACUUUGCCUUACUCCAUUUCUUGUUCACCUAAUGGAACCCUUUUGUCUGUGUUUCCCUCUGUCUCCCUCUCUCGCUCUCGCGCUCGCCGUCUCGCUGGCUGGCUGGCUGGCUGGCUGGCCGCACAUGGUACAGUCCUGCAUGUCUGAGCGGCAGACGGCCAGACAGCAGCAAUCUGGCUAUAGCCGCUUCAUGUGCUAGUCUCAUCCAUUUGGACAGAGCCCAUGCAAGCGGUGCUAAAAUGUUUUUCUCUCUCUGGCUUUCUCUACUCAUAUAGAUGCCUUUCGUUCCAUUUUGUCGGGACGCAUCCUUUUCCUUCCUCUGCUAGGCUUGAUCGGCGGAGAGAGACACAGAGAUGACUGCGGCAGCCGGCCGGUGAAGAAGAAACGCUUCCUCGAACGCCAUUCCGCUCCAUCCAGCCAUCCUUCCGUUUGAUCCCAGCUGAGUUCGGGCCAAAGGCGGACUACACCCUGGACUGGUCGCCAGUCAGUCGCAGGGCAGACAUUCCGCUCGUGACUUCUAUUUUGAAUCAAUUUGUUUUGGUUGUCCGCCACGUGGCUUAGUUUUACCGAUGCUACGCAACAACUUGCGACGUUUGACUCCAUUUCACCAAUCGAGCGGAGCCAGGCUGUCACAUGACCACGCACCAAGUCUCCAAGCGACUAACUUCCGUGAAGCGCGGCACAACAACGAACAACGGAGGAAACAAGGCGCAAGUGACUCCCAGGCAAACCCUUACAGACAAUCCAAAACAAUGGCUAUGUCUUCCACUGUCAUCUGUGUCUGCCUAAAAAUGUCGACAUUUCAGCCUACAAAAACUCCACUGAAAACGGAACUUAGUACUUUUAUUUGUACUUGCUCCCUAAUCAGCCUAUUGUGCUCUUUCCUGAGUGUAAACAAAGAAGGUUUAUUGUUGGGUAGUAUGUGAAUUUUCACAUCCAUCCAUUUUCUGAGCCGCUUCUCCUCACUCGGGUCGCGGGCAAUUUCAUAUUUUGGUCUAUCUGACGUUAAUGCUCUACUUAAAAAAAAAAAAAAAGAUACUCAGUGCUUGAGUUGUUUUUUUCACUGAUUACUUACUACUUAAUACAUAUUUGGAGUAUUACUCUCGACUUUUACUUGAACCAUAAUAUUCUAAAGUAAAAGUAUUCUUCCUUGUGUAAAAUUAUUGGUUACUUUUCUCACAUCUGCUGGUACAAAAGAACACUACAACUGUAAAGGACUGUUAGUAUGCUUCACAUCUGAACAGUGGGACUUUCAUACUGUAAGUAUUUGUCAUACAUAAAUAAACACAGGUGCCUCUCAA